CUCUAAGCGAUCGGCGUGAGUAACGGGCAGAACAAUUGCAUUCUCUUCCACUAGAGGGCAGUACAACUACCUGCUCCAAUUAAAUGGGUUCCCAAGUGCCAGUAAAACAAAAGACGAAGAAGAAAUUACAGCAUGACUAUUAUGACCGCAGGGUAAUAGCAAUAGAUAAAUAUUUGAAAAGAGAAAGUAGUCAGUCUGACCUGGGUGUCCUGGAGAAAGUUCUGACCCAGACGACGGCCCAGCAUGAGUAGUGGUCAGAAGAAGGCAAAAAAGAAAUUAAACUUCCCCUCCCCCAAAACAUGAAGCUGCAAAUGAGUGUUGCAUCUCAAACUGGCCGCUAUGAGAAACAGACACAGGACCACAACCCAAAGCGCAGCUCCAAACUAUGCAAGAGCCAUUAAGAGAACAAACCAUCAGCUGGUAUUCUGUCUAUAAUGGAACAGCCGGCAUAGUCACCAGAUCUCAAAUGUACUGAGCUGUUAUGGAAACAGCUUGAAAGCACUUUGGCAAGAAUGUGAUGACAUCAUUCCCGAUUCCUCAACGAACCGAUAACAGGAAUACCAAAAGUUCUGCAGUGAUUGUAGAACACGGACGAGUCUCUGACAUCUAAUUUAUGU